ACGCGGUAAACGAUGAAUGCUAGGUGUAAGGGGUAUCGACCCCUCUUGUGCCGCAGUUAACACAAUAAGCAUUCCGCCUGGGGAGUACGGCCGCAAGGUUGAAACUCAAAGGAAUUGACGGGGGCCCGCACAAGCAGCGGAGCAUGUGGUUUAAUUCGAAGCAACGCGAAGAACCUUACCAGGUCUUGACAUCGAGGUAAGCCUGCAGAGAUGCAGGGUGGAUUCGUCCGACCAAAGACAGGUGGUGCAUGGUUGUCGUCAGCUCGUGUCGUGAGAUGUUGGGUUAAGUCCCGCAACGAGCGCAACCCUUAUAUUCAGUUACUAACGGGUGAAGCUGAGGACUCUGAAUAGACUGCCGGGGACAACUCGGAGGAAGGUGGGGACGACGUCAAAUCAUCAUGCCCCUUAUGACCUGGGCUACACACGUGCUACAAUGGUGUUGAACAAAGAGGAGCGAGCCUGUAAGGGUAAGCGGAUCUCAAAAAAGACAUCUCAGUUCGGACUGUGGGCUGCAACCCGCCCACACGAAGUUGGAGUUGCUAGUAAUCGCGGAUCAGAAUGCCGCGGUGAAUACGUUCCCGGGCCUUGUACACACCGCCCGUCACACCAUGGGAGUUGGGAGUACCCGAAGUCGGUGAGCUAACGCAAGGAGCAGCCGCCGAAGGUAAGACCGAUGACUGGGGUG
rnacentral:rRNA from 1 species